AUGGUCCCCGACCCGAUGACAGGCGACAGUGCGACCAUCUCUGUGCGCGCGACCCCUCUGCCGCGUAUUACAUUACUGCUGUUUGUCGCCCUCAUUCCACGGGGGGGGGGGGGCAGCUGCUCGGCGGACGCACUAGGUGCAGGCGCAAGACGGCCCGUCGCUCAUCUCCAACGUGCUCCUCCAAGCACGCUGCGCUCAGGGUGGAGCACCUGCUCCAGCUCAGACACACCAGGUCACGCGGGGUCACCGGAUCGCGAAGGGGGGCGUGUCGGGGCGAGGCGGCGCGAGGCGGGGCCUGCGAUCUCCGCGGCCGUCCUCAUCCUGGAGGUCAGGAGCGGAUCGGGACGAACCCUCAGGGGUCCAGGGAGACUCAAGAGUCCACAUGGAGACAGAAUACAGCCCAAGAGAAUCACUGAGGAUCCACAGUUGAGAGCUUCUCCACAAGUGCAUCCAGACACCUUCGUGAGCCACCUCAUCACUGUCUCACCACCACCACCAUCAUCCUCACCCUCACUGUCUCACCACUAUCAUCAUCAUCACCAUCUCACUACAUCAUUGUCUCACCACCACCCUCAUCAUCCUCACUCUCACUGUCUCACCACCACCACCAUCAUCAUCAUCAUCACCAUCUCACUACAUCAUUGUCUCACACCACCAUCAUCCUCACCCUCACUGUCUCACCACCACCCUCAUCACCAUCAUCACCAUCAUCAGCACCACUCACUCAUCACUCACUCAUCAGCAACAGGAGGAGGAGGAGGCGCUGCGCACCGUCCGCGUCCGUCGCUCAUCAUGGAGCGAAGUGCAGAUCGGCGCUUUUCACGCGCUUUUCUUUUCACGCGCCAGUCAGUCUCACGGGCUCAGCAUCCGUCGGACCCAUCGGCGAUCGCCACUCAGCCUCACUCGGUCAUCGGCAGCCGCGGGACCCCCGUCCCGUUCGACUCUCACACGAACCUGAUUGGACCGCGGACCGAACUUUCGUUCGUGUCAUUCAUUCCGAGCAGCACGAGCCCCGUUCGUUCGUUCCAAACCAAAGAGGCUGAGGCUGAGGAUGAGGUCCUCCUCCUUACCUCCUCACCUUCUCCUCCUCCUCCUGCACGCGCUCGCUCGCUCUCGGCUCGCUCCCUCCCUCCGCCGGGCAAGCCCAGAUUUCCCAGGUUCCUCCUGCGAUCUCGCACACGCGUUCCGUUCCGUUCCGUUCCGUUCCGUUCCGUUCCGUUCCGUUCGGCCGCCCGGACGCCCUCCUUUCUUCGCCGCAAACUUGCCCCGGCGUCUCCGGCUAUUGUGGGGCGCACACGAACUGCAGCAGAGCGAGGACCGCCCACCGGUGCUCUGCCGACACGUCAUUGGUCCGUCGCAGAACAGACGCGCCAGAACGUCCCGCCCACUUGA
rnacentral:lncRNA from 1 species